GCACCACAAAUAGUUCCUCAAUGUAUUUGAAAAAUCUUUCCAGCUCUCUCCCGUUUGACCACUCAGCGUGAAAGGGAGAAUGUUAUGCUCCGAUCCAGUGGAAGCGUCAUGAAAUAGGCCUACCUGAUUAGUUUUUAUCACGUGCAAAUAGCCUACAGCUGUGUCUGUCCCAAGCUCACUGGCACCGGAAACUCUGAGGGCCCAGAAUAUUUUUAACAAUGUUGCAAGUUUGCUAGAGGGAGCUUCAAGGCUGACUCAAGCCUAUGACCGGCAACUUCAGCAGAGUAAAGCCAGAAUCUGUGAAAGCCAAUAAGAGCAGGAGGAGGAUGGUCAGUCUGUGGAGAAGGACCCGGCUGGGAGGAAGUGCAGCGGGAGGCCAAGAGUUGACAACCAUCACGUCAGGCUCCCACGGGGAACUAACUGCAGUGGGGAGCCAAUGGGGCCUACAGUCAACCUAGCCUCCUGUAGGGACACCCCCAGAGAGUGACUGUACAGCUGAUGGCCCCCAUGGAACUACAGAACAGAAGUCUGGAGUCCAACUACUGUCUGGAGCCCAAACGGAGGCCCCCAAAAGGGGCAACAGAGAUUUAAUCCAGUGAGACCAAAGCAGUCGACAGAUUCCCAACUAGAAUCUACUACAGAGGGCUACACUGUCGACAGACAGUCACAGUUACAGCCACAACCUCAGCCACUCACUAGUGAUGGGUGUAAAAAAUGCUGUGUUCAGAAACGUUGCUAUAGUAUUCCUAUUUGGAAGUCUCACAGAAUAUUCCAAUAAAUGUCUUGGCAUUUCUCGGUUAUGUUGCAGUUUCAAGUUGUAUUAGCCGUAUGUACAGUAUACACAUGGUAUAUACCGUCCAACAAAAUGCACUUGCAGGUUCCUUCUCCACAAUGGUACAACCAAUAAGAAAUCAUAUUUAAAAAAUAAUACAAACUGUUUUGGACUGCAUUCCUUUGUCUGCUAGAGCCAAAUACAUCAAAUGUGCAUAUAUCAGUGCAUAAACAUGAGGCUCCACUGGAAUAGCAUGAACUACACCUGCUCUGUCUGACAUAACUAUCUGAAAUAAGUAUCACUCCAAAGAUUGACACAUGUUAGUGGCCAGAGCAUAACUGAACACUGCAGAUCCUCUUCCAUUUCCUACAUAAUACUCAAGCUAACUGCCAACUAACCACUGCAACCACAGAGAGCAAUUGUAAUGGUACCUUUUUGUAGGAACUAAUGGAGGGUACCACCAUUGCUUGUUGGCCAAAGCCUAUGGGAAAAUUAAUGUGGGGUUUUGUAGGGUUUUGGGAUAAAAGAGGAAAAUAAGACCUGUGGUAAACACAGGCUUAGGAGAUCUUAUUAGUUUUGUUCUAUGACAUCUCCAUCAGCUAAUGUCACUUCUUGUGAAUUUGAAACAUUUAUGUAAUCAAAAUAAGCACAUAAAGGGGAUAAAUGCUUCAUAAUUCAUAAAGGUCAUGUUAACUGACUGAUAUUACAAAAGUUUAUGAUCUAAGCCUGUGUUAACCUCAAACCUUAUUUUC